rnacentral:rRNA from 1 species
AGUAAUGCGUAGGGAUCUGCCUUGUGGCGGGGGAUAACUUGGGGAAACUCGAGGUAAUACCGCAUGAUGUCUGAGGACCAAAGCGUGGGACUGUAAAAGGCCACGCACCAUAAGAUGAACCUACGUCCGAUUAGCUAGUAGGUAAGGUAAAGGCUUACCUAGGCGAUGAUCGGUAGCUGGUCUGAGAGGAUGACCAGCCACACUGGGACUGAGACACGGCCCAG